rnacentral:rRNA from 1 species
GAGUUUGAUCGUGGCUCAGGAUGAACGCUGGCGGCGUGCCUAAUACAUGCAAGUCGAGCGAACGGACGAGAAGCUUGCUUCUCUGAUGUUAGCGGCGGACGGGUGAGUAACACGUGGAUAACCUACCUAUAAGACUGGGAUAACUUCGGGAAACCGGAGCUAAUACCGGAUAAUAUUUUGAACCGCAUGGUUCAAAAGUAAAAGACGGUCUUGCUGUCACUUAUAGAUGGAUCCGCGCUGCAUUAGCUAGUUGGUAAGGUAACGGCUUACCAAGGCAACGAUGCAUAGCCGACCUGAGAGGGUGAUCGGCCACACUGGAACUGAGACACGGUCCAGACUCCUACGGGAGGCGAGCAGUAGGGAAUCUUCCGCAAUGGGCGAAAGCCUGACGGAGCAACGCCGCGUGAGUGAUGAAGGUCUUCGGAUCGUAAAACUCU